ensembl:rRNA 5S_rRNA 5S ribosomal RNA
GCUUACGGCCACACCGCCUGGUUCACGCCUGAUCUCGGAAGCUAAGAUAGGUUGGGCCUGGUUAGUACUUGGAUGGGAGACCGCCUGGGAAUACCAGGUGCUGCAAGAU